rnacentral:lncRNA from 1 species
AAAAGAGGUUAUUAGCCUAGUCUCAGGCUCAUAAAAUUGUUUUGCCUCAGUUUCCUCACUAUAAAGUGAAAUAGAGAAGGAAAUAAUAAGCACUCCAAUAUUUUUGCCAAGAAAACACCAAAUCAUGUUACAAAAAGUUAGAUAUGACUGAAAAACAACUUACUUAAUUAACCUGUUCCUUUGGUCAUCUUUUCCAUGUUUUCACCAGUAGCUAAUAGCAAUAGUGAUUACUAUAGUUUGAGAUCUAGUAACACUAUGCCUUCUUUAUUCUCAUUGUUUCGUUAUUAGCUUUGAUAUCUUGACAUUUCCUUUACAUGAAUAUUGUUAUUAGUUUGUCUGCUUCCAUUAAUUAGUCUAUUGGUGGUUUGAUCAGCAUACCACAAAGUCUAAUUUAGGUAAUUUGUUUUUGUUUCACUGGAAUGACUCAUGAAAUAAUUUUGUCCGAGAGCACAGUCAAUUUUUAUAAAGUUGGCAUGCAAAGUUAAAUAAUACAGGGGUAAGUCGGUGGCUGGGUAAAUAGAGAGCCAGACCAGGAGACAGGAGUCCUGCUUCAAAUCUAGCUUCAGAAACUUUGUAGCUGUAUGAUUCUCAGCAAAUUACUUAACCUCAAUUAUCUAUACCCUGUCACUAUUCUGUCUUGGAAAAAAUACUUGAUAUUGAUUUCUAAGUCAGAAGGUGUUGGGAAAUCCUUAGUAGCUUCUCUUACUACAUCAUAUCCAGUCUUAGAGAUGAAGUUAUUUCUUAUCCUGUACUGGUCAGCAAUCCAUUGUUGUGUGGCUUGA